UUCAAGACAACUAGACAAUACAUAAGACUGAUAAAAUCACCAAAUAGACAUUGUCUCACAUCAGUAUCCAUAUGUAAUAACUCCAAUAUAUAAAACAUAGUUUUCGGGAAAACAGGCCCUACCUCGGCUCGCUAUCACAUAAUUUAACGCAACAAUCCCUGCUGAGUCUAAACCGGCAGCAGCAGCGGCAACAAUUCUAACAUGACCGAGGCGGUUGCAGCAGCACCAACUCCGGUUACGCUCGCAGCAGCAACAAUUUUGACAAUCCCAGCAUAAACACCACAUUACUAAAACAGAGAUAUUGUAUAUCAUAAUUAAAAUAAGAAUAUACAGAGAAACAUAGUACCAAACGGAACAAGAACAGAGCGUUACAAGAUUAUCAAUAGAGGUUUAAUGUCAAAACGAAUGGGAUGGUGCAGUCACUCCUCUCCGCUGGUAACGAGUUCCAACUGUAACGAUUCCAGAAAACCCAACAGAGCCAAUAACAUCAGAGGCACUUAAAAGAUGUUACAGAACAAUAAGAGCUCAGAAAUGGUAGCUAGGCACAAUUAACUCACCAUAAAUGAUAGCAGUAGCCAGAAAUUCUGGCAACGGCGGCGGCAGAGGAACGGUUCCUCCUCUGAACUUGAUGUGUCAUCCUUCCUCAC